AACGAACGCUGGCGGCAGGCUUAACACAUGCAAGUCGAGCGCCCCGCAAGGGGAGCGGCGGACGGGUGAGUAACGCGUGGGAACCUACCUAGAGGUGCGGAAUAACUCAGGGAAACUUGAGCUAAUACCGCAUGAGCCCGAGAGGGGAAAGAUUUAUCGCCUUUGGAUGGGCCCGCGUCAGAUUAGCUAGUUGGUGAGGUAACGGCUCACCAAGGCGACGAUCUGUAGCUGGUCUGAGAGGAUGAUCAGCCACAUUGGGACUGAGACACGGCCCAGACUCCUACGGGAGGCAGCAGUGGGGAAUAUUGGACAAUGGGCGCAAGCCUGAUCCAGCCAUGCCGCGUGUGUGAUGAAGGCCUUAGGGUUGUAAAGCACUUUCGCCAGGGACGAUAAUGACGGUACCUGGAUAAGAAGCCCCGGCUAACUUCGUGCCAGCCGCCGCCGUAAAAC
rnacentral:rRNA from 1 species